CCUACGGGCGGCUGCAGUGGGGAAUAUUGCACAAUGGGCGCAAGCCUGAUGCAGCCAUGCCGCGUGUGUGAAGAAGGCCUUCGGGUUGUAAAGCACUUUCAGCGGGGAGGAAGGCGUUAAGGUUAAUAACCUUGUCGAUUGACGUUACCCGCAGAAGAAGCACCGGCUAACUCCGUGCCAGCAGCCGCGGUAAUACGGAGGGUGCAAGCGUUAAUCGGAAUUACUGGUCGUAAAGCGCACGCAGGCGGUCUGUCAAGUCGGAUGUGAAAUCCCCGGGCUCAACCUGGGAACUGCAUUCGAAACUGGCAGGCUAGAGUCGUGUAGAGGGGGGUAGAAUUCCAGGUGUAGCGGUGAAAUGCGUAGAGAUCUGGAGGAAUACCGGUGGCGAAGGCGGCCCCCUGGACAAAGACUGACGCUCAGGUGCGAAAGCGUGGGGAGCAAACAGGAUUAGAUACCCGAGUAGUC
rnacentral:rRNA from 1 species